rnacentral:rRNA from 1 species
UAGGGAAUCUUCCACAAUGGACGCAAGUCUGAUGGAGCAACGCCGCGUGAGUGAAGAAAGGGUUUCGGCUCGUAAAGCUCUGUUGUUAAGAAGAACGUGGGUAAGAGUAACUGUUUACCCAGUGACGGUAUUUAACCAGAAAGCCACGGCUAACUACGUGCCAA